rnacentral:misc_RNA from 1 species
GAUGAAGAACGUAGCGAAAUGCGAUAAGUAAUGUGAAUUGCAGAAUUCAGUGAAUCAUCGAAUCUUUGAACGCACAUUGCGCCCCCUGGUAUUCCGGGGGGCAUGCCUGUUCGAGCGUCAUUUCAACCCUCAAGCUCUGCUUGGUAUUGAGUCCAUGUCAGCAAUGGCAGGCUCCAAAAUCAGUGGCGGCGCCGCUGGGUCCUGAACGUAGUAAUAUCUCUCGUUACAGGUGCUCGGCGUGCUUCUGCCAAAACCCCAAUUUUUCUAUGGUUGACCUCGGAUCAGGUAGGGAUACCCGCUGAACUUAAGCAUAUCAAUAAGCGGAGGA